GCUUAAAACCGUUCUCUCUGCUUAAAACCGUUCUCUCUCCGUGCCUUCAAUUAGUUCAAUUCAAUCUCCCAUGGGUUAAAAAACUUGCCUGCUCAGCCCCUCCAGGGUCCAGAUGGGUGGUGACAGAUGGCCGGACCCCUAGCUGCCCUCUAAAAGAUGAAACGGUUGGGAUCAUAAAGUUGUAGCCAAACCCAUGUUUUCCCACAAACAAAGCUGCCAUAUUUGCUCUAGUUUUGUCAUUAUUUGGUCAGAUAAUGAGUCUAAGACCAAGAAGCCCCUUACUUAAGCCAAACCCUUUUUUCUUUCAGUUUCAGAGAGAGAGAGAGAGAGAGAGAGAGAGAGUUGGUGUAGUAUCGGGGUGAGUUUCAUCAGAAACGAGGGGUGGAAAGGGUGGGGGACUAGUAAAGGGUGAGAUGAGGGAACGCAAGAAAAGACUGAAGGGAGAGGGGGUUUUUUCACCAGAAACGAGGGAAGACAAGCAUAACCAUGAUGAUGAACCUUUGAUCCUUCUAAAUAUGCCCUCCCUAUAGGGGAAUGAACCAUCCAAUCCAAUCUGAUUUUAUUUAUCUGUCUUUUUGAGUGUGAAACCGCCUCUUCUUCUCCUCUCUCUCUUUAAUUAAUUACACCCAGGCUUCCUCCUCCUCCCCUCUCUCUCUCCCUUAUUAACUGUUCUUCCUUCAUUGCAUCUUUAAUAGGAGAACCCAUCUGCCCCUACUCCAAUCUUCUGCUUCUCUACCGUCAUUAAACACUCUUUCUCUCUCUCUCUCGCGCUCCGCGUGUACGUGUUUUGCGCGUCUUUCUACAAGGACCGUUUUGGUGCUUUCAUGGGGGUUUAGCAAAGGGCUUCUUACAGAGUUUAUUGGCAUUCUGUCCACCUCCCAUCACAGAAAAUCCCUUUCCUUUCCCCUCUCUUUCAUGGAGGUGGGCAUACUGCCAACUGGGCUCUGUUGGCUUCUCUUUGUAAAACCCUUGUGAUGCAUUUCUUCCAGCUAUUCUCUUCCUUCGAGAAGGAUCCAGUUUCGUAAGGUCUAUUCUCUUUAGCCGGCUUCCAUGAGCAUUCGGGGAUCAGUCUGAACAGGGAGAAUAUUGGUCAAGGGGAGCCGUGCUGCGGGGCUGCAGCAUGGUGGCUCGGGCGCUGGCAUAUCAUUGUCGAUUUUUGAGGUUAAUGGGGUGGUGCCGGUGGACCAUCGGACCUACUACGUGCUGCUCGUGGUUGCUUUGAGUCAAUGUUGUAAGAAUUUUGGUCAAGGGUACGACUAAAAUCAAAGAUGGUUAAUGAUACUCAUAAUCAAUGGGGACCAUUGCUGGUGUUUUCCAUUUUUAUUUUUAUUUUGUCACUCGUACCUUUUCUCCUGGUAUAGUUUUGGGACUGAUUCCCUGCAAAAAAAAAAAAGUUGGCUUAGAGAGGUAUUUUCUUCCCCAGGAUAGUCUUCUUUUCCUUCAUUUGGUUCUUUUAUGGGCCCUGAACCGAGUGGCAAUGAUAUCUUCACUCUCUGAUGGAGUUAAUAGCGUA